AAGUACAAGCGAAAAUAAAGUGAAACCGCAAAAGGCUCAUUAUAUCAGUUAUGGUUCCUUAGAUCGUAUCCACAUUUACUUGGAUAACUGUGGUAAUUCUAGAGCUAAUACAUGCACUUAAAGAGAAACCAGUAAAAUGGGAUCUCUGCUUUUAUUAGAUUUAAACCAAUGGUGAAUGUUUCGGCAUUCUCAAUUAAAAUGGUUGAACUCUGGAUAAUUUGUUGAUCGCAUGGUCUUGUACCGGCGACGGAUCUUUCAAAUGUCUGCCCUAUCAACUAUUGAAGGUAGUGUCUUGGACUACCUUGGUUGCAACGGGUAACGGGGAAUCAGGGUUCGAUUCCGGAGAGGGAGCCUGAGAAACGGCUACCACAUCUAAGGAAGGCAGCAGGCGCGUAAAUUACCCACUCCCGGCACGGGGAGGUAGUGACGAAAAAUAACAAUACAAGACUCACAUCCGAGGCCUUGUAAUUGGAAUGAGUACACUUUAAAUCCUUUAACAAGGAUCAAUUGGAGGGCAAGUCUAGUGCCAGCAGCCGCGGUAAUUCUAGCUCCAAUAGCGUAUAUUAAAGUUGUUGCGGUUAAAACGUUCGUAGUUGAACUUGUGUUUCGCACGGGCAGUACCUAGGACUAGGUAACUAGGACGGUACGUUGUCUUAUCUUUUCAUAUUUUUAAUCGGAUAUGGAAAAAGUGCGUGAACGUAUUAUCGGCGUGUUCGUAUUAUCCUUAAAUGGGUGAACGUUCACAUAAGCCCAUUUCAGUGCUCUUUAUCGAGUGUUGUUGUGGGCCGAUACGAAUUACUUUGAACAAAUUAGAGUGCUUAAAGCAGGCUUGUAAUGCCUGAAUAUUUUGUGCAUGGAAUAAUGGAAUAGGACAUCUGUUCUACUUUCAUUGGUUUUUUAGACCAAGAUGUAAUGAUUAAUGGAAGCAGUUGGGGGCAUUAGUAUUACAACGCGAGAGGUGAAAUUCUUAGACCGUUGUAAGACUGACUAAAGCGAAAGCAUUUGCCAAAGAUGUUUUCAUUUAAUCAAGAACGAAAGUUAGAGGUUCGAAGGCGAUC
rnacentral:rRNA from 1 species